rnacentral:rRNA from 1 species
AGUGGCAGACGGGUGAGUAAUGCAUAGGAAUCUACCUAGUAGUAUGGAAUAGCCAUUAGAAAUGAUGGGUAAUACUGUAUAAUCCCUGCGGGGGAAAGAUUUAUCGCUAUUAGAUGAGCCUAUGUUAGAUUAGCUAGUUGGUAAGGUAAUGGCUUACCAAGGCUAUGAUCUAUAGCUGGUCUGAGAGGACGAUCAGCCACACUGGAACUGAGAUACGGUCCAGACUCCUACGGGAGGCAGCAGUGGGGAAUAUUGGACAAUGGGCGAAAGCCUGAUCCAGCUAUGCCGCGUGAGUGAAGAAGGCCUUCGGGUUGUAAAGCUCUUUCAAUAGGGAAGAUAAUGACGGUACCUAUAGAAGAAGUCCCGGCAAACUCCGUGCCAGCAGCCGCGGUAAUACGGAGGGGGCAAGCGUUGUUCGGAAUUAUUGGGCGUAAAGGGCACGUAGGUGGACUAGUAAGUUAAAAGUGAAAUACCAAAGCUCAACUUUGGAGCUGCUUUUAAUACUGCUAGACUAGAGGUCGAAAGAGGAUAGCGGAAUUCCUAGUGUAGAGGUGAAAUUCGUAGAUAUUAGGAGGAACACCAGUGGCGAAGGCGGCUAUCUGGUUCGAUACUGACACUGAGGUGCGAAAGCGUGGGGAGCAAACAGGAUUAGAUACCCUGGUAGUCCACGCUGUAAACGAUGAGUGCUAAAUGUGAGGAUUUUAUCUUUGUAUUGUAGCUAACGCGUUAAGCACUCCGCCUGGGGACUACGGUCGCAAGACUAAAACUCAAAGGAAUUGACGGGGACCCGCACAAGCGGUGGAGCAUGUGGUUUAAUUCGAUGCUACGCGAAAAACCUUACCACUUUUUGACAUGAAGGUCGUAUCCCUCCUAACAGGGGGAGUCAGUUCGGCUGGACCUUACACAGGUGCUGCAUGGUUGUCGUCAGCUCGUGUCGUGAGAUGUUGGGUUAAGUCCCGCAACGAGCGCAACCCUCAUCCUUAGUUACCAACAGGUAAUGCUGGGCACUCUAAGGAAACUGCCAGUGAUAAACUGGAGGAAGGUGGGGAUGAUGUCAAAUCAGCACGGCCCUUAUAAGGUGGGCUACACACGUGCUACAAUGGCAACUACAAUAGGUUGCGAGACCGCAAGGUUUAGCUAAUCCAUAAAAGUUGUCUCAGUUCGGAUUGUUCUCUGCAACUCGAGAGCAUGAAGUCGGAAUCGCUAGUAAUCGUGGAUCAUCACGCCACGGUGAAUACGUUCUCGGGUCUUGUACACACUGCCCGUCACGCCAUGG